UUUCAGAUCUUACAAGACUUUUAACAACUUUUGAAAAGAAUUCUAUAGUGGUGAUGCUUCCGGCACGCUGCGGAGGUUAGGUCGUCGUUGGCGGCGGCGUCUCUCUCCCAAGCGACGACGGAAGUGGCGACGCGCGCGAAAAUCGUCGCCGCAGGCCGACAAGCCAGCCAGCGGUAGUAGUGGCGCAGCGGCAGAGGUACUAUGGGAGCGGGGGCAUGGAGGGUGGAGGAGGGCUACAAGCCACGAACCACCUCCGGCGGCGGCACGCGUCCCCACGUUCGAGAUCUCGACGAAGUAUAUAUACGUUAGGCCAGGAUGGCUACGAGGACGAGCGAAGCGUCGAGCGACGUUUCGACGAG